UGAUAACCAGAAAGACUCCUGAUUGUGGGUGAAGAGAUCUGAGGUUUGGUCUCUGGUGCCAUCACUCAUGAGGGAACCUUGGGCUCAUCUCUCGUCAGCUUCAGGUUCCCUUUCCAAGAGAGUCAGGAAGAAAGUCCAACAGGAGCUUUGCCAGUUCUGACAUUCUCUCACGUGAAUACACACAGCUUGCGUGGCAGCAUUCUGGUCUCAUGUCUUAGUCACAAAGGUACUCCACUGUAUCAGAAUAUUUUCCUUGGCUGUGACCUCAGGCCAGGCCACAGGUCAGGACAGAAGAUAACACAGGGACCAUAUUGCUAUGGAGAAGAAAACAAGAAGCUAUCUGUUUUUUCAAACAUAGAUGUGGAAUUAGGAAGUGAGAAAGAAAUGGAAUCUGGACUAAUCCAGUGGACUGGCAUGAUCUGCUGGGGCAGUUGUCUCGAACAUAUCAGUUCCAGCUGCUGAAACACUGGGACCAUAGAGCGGUGAUGGAAAUAAGAAGAUGAAGGUCAAUUAGGACCACGGUGGGGUUGGGGAAGACAAAGACUUUGGUUUCUGUCCUGUAGGCAGCUGAUGGGAUGCUCAUUGCAGGAAGGAUUCUGGAACUGAGUUUCAGAAUGAGCAUUCACAGGCUAUGUGAAAUCACACACUACAGGCUAGGAGUGGUCCAGGGGGCAAAAGCAACAGAUCAGGGAGAGGUCAGAAGCCUGAGCCAGGGUAGUGGCAAUGGGCUAGGAAAGAGAAGGACGUGGGCAGCAGAAUGGCUACAGUUUGGGAGUUAUCUGGACACCAGGGUAGCAUUCUGGUCAGUUUUAUAUCAACUUGGCACAAUCCAGAGUCAUUUAGAGUCAGACUCUAAACUGAGAAAUGCCUCCCUAAGGUUGGGCAAUAGGCAAGUGUGCGAUCUAUUUUUAAUUAAUGCUUGAUGUGGAUGGAAGUGGCAGUGGGGGGUUCGUCUGGGUAGUAUAAGCAAGCCAUGAGGAGCAAGUCAGUAAGCAGCAUUCUCCAUGGCCUCUGCUUCAGCCGCUGCCUCCAGGGACCUGCCUUGAGUUCCUGGCCUGCCCUCCCUUACUGAUGAAACACGACCUGAAAGUUAUAAGGGGGGUUGUCAGAAGUCCCCAGGACCACUGAGGAAUGGAGAGAGCUAACCAACAGGGACAAAGUUCCAGAAGCAUCUAUCGUGACUCAUCUAGAUGUGAUGCUCCAUGAUGGUGACAAAUACGACCAAGGUCCACAGGUCAUGUGAGCAGAAAGUAUUUAAAUUCUAAAUUUGAAUGAUGUCAGUUUGCUCUAAAGCUGCUAUUGUUUUGUUUGAAACAGAUAUUCCUGUAGCUCAGGCUAUCCUCAAACUCAUUACAUAGCCAAGGAUGACCUCGCACUUCUGAGUCGCCUGUCUCUAUUUCCAAGUGCUGGGAUUACAGCCCUGCUGUGCAAAUACUCUGCCAACUAAACUAUAUCCACAGCCAAAAGUCUCUGUUCUUUGAACUAUUUACUAUCUUCUAAAUCUAGCUUUCCUCGUCUCCUUUUUUCUCAUUCAUUCUGAACACAAAUAUAAGGUCAUUCUUAUCUUCAGAUUAUGUCCCCUUUGGGGCAAGUUCAAAGGUAAUUGGACGAGGAGUUUUAAGCACGCACGGCUGUUCCCGUGGCAAACUGCUUCAUGAAUACCCAUCGGGAUCUCUCCAUAUGGACAGCAGAAGAGAUCCUGCUGUUCUUUUGCUAAUAAAAACUGUUGUGAUUACAUUUU
rnacentral:lncRNA from 1 species